rnacentral:tRNA from 1 species
GAGGGUGUAGCUCUGUGGUAGAGCACAAGCUUAGCAUGCAUGAGGUCCUGGGUUCAAUCCCUAGUACCUCCA